CCUACGGGGGGCAGCAGUGAGGAAUAUUGGUCAAUGGACGAGAGUCUGAACCAGCCAAGUAGCGUGAAGGAUGACUGCCCUAUGGGUUGUAAACUUCUUUUAUAUGGGAAUAAAAUGUUCCACGUGUGGGAUUUUGUAUGUACCAUAUGAAUAAGGAUCGGCUAACUCCGUGCCAGCAGCCGCGGUAAUACGGAGGAUCCGAGCGUUAUCCGGAUUUAUUGGGUUUAAAGGGAGCGUAGGUGGAUUGUUAAGUCAGUUGUGAAAGUUUGCGGCUCAACCGUAAAAUUGCAGUUGAAACUGGCAGUCUUGAGUACAGUAGAGGUGGGCGGAAUGCGUGGUGGAGCGGGGAAAGGCUUAGAUAACACGAAGAACUCCGAUUGCGAAGGCAGUUCACUGGACUGCAACUGACACUGAGGCUCGAAAGUGUGGGUAUCAAACAGGAUUAGAUACCCCUGUAGUC
rnacentral:rRNA from 1 species